rnacentral:rRNA from 1 species
UCCAGACUCCUACGGGAGGCAGCAGUGAGGAAUAUUGGUCAAUGGGCGAGAGCCUGAACCAGCCAAGUCGCGUGACGGAAGACGGUCCUAUGGAUUGUAAACCUCUUUUGCCGGGGAGCAAAAAGCGGUACGUGUACCGCAUCGAGAGUACCCGGAGAAAAAGCAUCGGCUAACUCCGUGCCAGCAGCCGCGGUAAUACGGAGGAUGCGAGCGUUAUCCGGACUUAUUGGGUUUAAAGGGUGCGCAGGUGGAUUUUUAAGUCAGCGGUCAAAUCGUGGGGCUCAACCCCAUCCAGCCGUUGAAACUGGGGAUCUAGAGUGUGCGAGAGGUAUGCGGAAUGCGUGGUGUAGCGGUGAAAUGCAUAGAUAUUGCGCAGAACUCCGAUUGCGAAGGCAGCCUACCGGCUCCUAUCUGACGCUGAGGCACGAAAGCGUGGGUAUCGAACAGGAUUAGAUACCCGCGUA